UACGUAGGGUGCAAGCGUUUAUCCGGAAUUAUUGGGCGUAAAGAGCUCGUAGGCGGUUUGUCGCGUCUGCUGUGAAAACUGGGGGCUCAACCCCCAGCCUGCAGUGGGUACGGGCAGACUAGAGUGCGGUAGGGGAGAUUGGAAUUCCUGGUGUAGCGGUGGAAUGCGCAGAUAUCAGGAGGAACACCGAUGGCGAAGGCAGAUCUCUGGGCCGUAACUGGACGCUGAGGAGCGAAAGCAUGGGGAGCGAACAGG
rnacentral:rRNA from 1 species